rnacentral:rRNA from 1 species
AAGACGUGCGCAGGCGGUUUUGUAAGACUGUCGUGAAAUCCCCGGGCUCAACCUGGGAAUGGCGAUGGUGACUGCAAGGCUAGAGUUUGGCAGAGGGGGGUAGAAUUCCACGUGUAGCAGUGAAAUGCGUAGAUAUGUGGAGGAACACCGAUGGCGAAGGCAGCCCCCUGGGUCAAAACUGACGCUCAUGCACGAAAGCGUGGGGAGCAAACAGGAUUAGAUACCCUAGU